UCACAUAAACCAUACAGAUAUAAAAUACGUGUGAAAUAAGUUAU
rnacentral:misc_RNA from 1 species